rnacentral:rRNA from 1 species
CCCCCCCUUUUAUCAAAAACAUGUCUUUUUGUAUUAAUUUAAAGUCGUGCCUGCCCAGUGAAUAUUUAAAUGGCCGCGGUAUUUUGACCGUGCAAAGGUAGCAUAAUCAUUAGUCUUUUAAUUGAAGGCUGGAAUGAAUGGUUUGACGAAACAAUAACUGUCUCGGUAUUAAUAAUUGAAUUUUAUUUUUGAGUUAAAAGGCUUAAAUAGUGGUGGGGGACGAGAAGACCCUAUAGAUCUUUAUAGUUUAAUUUUAAUUAAAUUAUUGGUUGUUAUUUAUUUGAAAUGAAAUUAUUUCGUUGGGGUGAUGAGAGAAUAAAUUAACUUCUUUGUUAUUUAACUAUGAUGAUUGAUUUUUUGAUCCUGUAUUAUGGAAUAUAAGAGUAAGAUACCUUAGGGAUAACAGCGUAAUUUUAUUGGAGAGUUCAUAUUGAUAAUAAAGAUUGCGACCUCGAUGUUGGAUUAAGAUUAUGAUUUGGUGCAGUAGCUAAAUUAA